ensembl:lncRNA
AUAGAGGGGGGUGGGGGGGGGGUUCCUCUUUCGGGGGGUUGGGGUCCCUCUGUGCCCCCACCCCUGCUGACCCAGGGUGCUGAGGACGGAGAUGAAGCGAAAUCUUAAGAUGUCACAGCCACGUAGCGUCUUUCCUACCGAGUCGUCACCUUGACAUCCAUCCUUGGUUCCUUGACUUGACCCCUGGCUAGUUUCUCCCUAGUGGGUCCUCGUGAUGUGAGUUCCUGUCCCCUUUGCAGCUAGACUUGUUGGCUUUGUGAGUCUACAAAAUGUUUACGUUGUGCACUAGCUCAGAGUUCAGCUUCCUUUUUAUUUAAUGUUUUCUAGGGAUGCACGGAUACUUUAGUUUACACAUUUUACGUAUCAUCCCGAUUCCAGUACAUCGAUUUUAAGUGACCAAUUAGCAGAUAAACUUAGGGGCAGGAGGAGGUCAUAACUAUGUUAAGGCAUUUUAUUGAUAAUUCAUGGAAAAAAAGCUAAUUUUCUUUAAUUGUUGAGAUGUUUGAUUAUGGUUCUGAAUAUCCAAUAUUUUUAUAAAAAGUAUUCUCCGCUCAUCCCUGUUACCGGUUCCAGUGUCGGUGGCCUCAAUUCUUAAUAUUUAUAUUAUUAACAGGUACCACUCUUUCUUUCCACAAAAAGUGAGCUCUGAGCAACCUUGGUCAGUCCAAAGCUGUCAGCGAAAGAAACCCGAGUGGGAUGUACGAUUAGUAUUUAAUUUCUCAGUGAUUCCGUUGGUGCAUGUGGUUGACGUGUGUGUGUAUUUUGUUGCUGGAGAUGCGCAGUUCGACACUCUCAGGGAAUGGUGCCAAGAACACAACCAGCAGCCACGUCAUGAUGCAGACCAGUCCCUCUCCCCUGUAAACACCCUGCAAAGUCCCGCUUUUUUUUUUGGUUACUUUUUUAAUGAAAUAUUUUGUGAAAGUUGACUCGCUGUGCUUUGCAUUUACGGUUUCGAACUUUAGAAUCGCGUCACCCGAUUUGAAGUACUGGUCGUUUUUUAAAAACCCUUUUGGCGUAAAGACAAGAUGAGAUACGAACGUUGAAGACCACAUCUUCAUUAGUAGCUUUAAGACCACAAGUUCCCCCUCAGACCUGAACCGCUCUGCUCAGGUGGGCUCCACGCAUUUGACCUGGUGAACCGCCUGGUCAGUUUGGCUCCACGCACGUGACCUGUGACCCGCCUGGUGCUUUGCUCGAGAUGAAGGUUAAAUCAUGCAUAGUGAAGAAUGAAAUCAAAUCGUAUCUUCUCAGUCCUUGUCUCGACUUUACACUACACGUAAAAUGCAUGUCAACUUAUUUAAAUGGCAAGAGCUAGCCCGCAGGCAGGGUUUUUUUUAAGGUAAUUAAUGUUCAGGACUUGGUCGCUGUUGGCUUUUAAACAGAUCUAGUGUCCUUUGUGAUCUGUGCUAAUUCUUGCAAUUGUUUUCAUGAUUUAUGAUUUUUUUGAAGUAUAAAAAACACUGGCUAACUGUGACACUGAUACGUAAAGCGUUGAAUUUGUUUCUGCAUUUCAAACAAAAUGCCUGUAAAUAAAUUUUGG